rnacentral:rRNA from 1 species
UACGGAGGGUGCAAGCGUUAUCCGGAUUCACUGGGUUUAAAGGGUGCGUAGGUGGGCAGGUAAGUCAGUGGUGAAAUCCCCGAGCUUAACUCAGAACGGCCAAGUGAAACUGUUGUGCCAGAGUGCAGAAGGGGCAAUCGGAAUUCUUGGUGUAGCGGUGAAAUGCGUAGAUAUCAAGAGGAACACCUGAGGUGAAGACGGGUUGCUGGGCUGACACUGACGCUGAGGCGCGAAAGCCAGGGGAGCAAACGGG